rnacentral:rRNA from 1 species
AGUGAACGCUGGCGGUAGGCCUAACACAUGCAAGUCGAACGGCAGCACAGUAAGAGCUUGCUCUUACGGGUGGCGAGUGGCGGACGGGCGAGGAAUACAUCGGAAUCUACUUUUUCGUGGGGGUUAACGGAGGGAAACUUACGCUAAUACCGCAUACGACCUACGGGGGCAAGCAGGGGAUCUUCGGACCUUGCGCGAUAGAAUGAGCCGAUGUCGGAUUAGCUAGUUGGCGGGGUAAAGGCCCACCAAGGCGACGAUCCGUAGCUGGUCUGAGAGGAUGGUCAGCCACACUGCAACGGAAACGCGGCCCAGACUCCUACGCGAGGCAGCAGAGGGGAAAAUUGGACUAUGCGCGCAAGCCUGAUCCAACCAUACCGCGUGGGUGGAGAAGGCCCUGGGGUUUGAAAGCCCUUUUUUUUGGAAAGAAAAGCAGCAGGUUUAUACCCCGCUGUUCUGACGGUACCCAAAGAAUAAGCACCGGCUAACUUCGUG